rnacentral:rRNA from 1 species
AGGGAGUUUGAUCCUGGCUCAGGAUGAACGCUGGCGGCGUGCUUAAUACAUGCAAGUCGAACGGACAAUGUCAGAUAGCUUGCUAUCUGAUUGAGUUAGUGGCGAACGGGUGAGUAAUACGUAGGCAACCUACCCCAAAGCGGGGGAUAGCAGUUGGAAACGACUAUUAAUACCGCAUAGGUAAUCGGGAGGCAUCUCCUGAUUAUUAAAGGUGCGUUUGCACCGCUGUGGGAUGGGCUUACGCUGUAUUAGCUUGUUGGUGAGGUAACGGCCCACCAAGGCGAUGAUACAUAGCCGGUCUGAGAGGAUGAACGGCCACAUUGGGACUGAGACACGGCCCAGACUCCUACGGGAGGCAGCAGUAAGGAAUUUUCGGCAAUGGGGGAAACCUUGACCGAGCAACGCCGCGUGAGUGAUGAAGGCCUUCGGGUCGUAAAGCUCUGUGGUAAAGGAAGAACACCAUGAAUAGGAAAUGAUUCAUGGCUGACGGUACUUUACUAGAAAGUCACGGCUUACUACGUGCCAGCAGCCGCGGUAAUACGUAGGUGGCAAGCGUUAUCCGGAUUUAUUGGGCGUAAAGAGGGAGCAGGCGGCUUGUUUAGUCUGAGGUGAAAGCGUUGAGCUCAACUCAAUUAAGCCUCAGAUACUGGCAAGCUAGAGUGCAGAAGAGGGUUAUGGAACUCCAUGUGUAGCGGUAAAAUGCGUAGAUAUAUGGAAGAACACCGGCGGCGAAGGCGGUAACCUGGUCUGUAACUGACGCUCAGGCACGAAAGCGUGGGGAGCAAAUAGGAUUAGAUACCCUGGUAGUCCCCU